rnacentral:rRNA from 1 species
UACGUAGGGGGCAAGCGUUGUCCGGAUUUAUUGGGCGUAAAGAGCGUGUAGGCGGCCAGACAGGUCAGCUGUGAAAACUCGAGGCUCAACCUCGAGACGUCGGUUGUAAACCGUCUGGCUAGAGUCCGGAAGAGGAGAGUGGAAUUCCCGGUGUAGCGGUGAAAUGCGCAGAUAUCAGGAGGAACACCGGUGGCGAAGGCGGGUCUCUGGGCCGAUACUGACGCUGGAGGAGCGAAAGCGUGGGGAGCGAACAGG